AUUGAACGCUGGCGGCAUGCCUUACACAUGCAAGUCGAACGGCAGCAUAGGAGCUUGCUCCUGAUGGCGAGUGGCGAACGGGUGAGUAAUAUAUCGGAACGUGCCCUAGAGUGGGGGAUAACUAGUCGAAAGACUAGCUAAUACCGCAUACGAUCCACGGAUGAAAGUGGGGGAUCGCAAGACCUCAUGCUCCUGGAGCGGCCGAUAUCUGAUUAGCUAGUUGGUGGGGUAAAAGCCUACCAAGGCAACGAUCAGUAGCUGGUCUGAGAGGACGACCAGCCAAACGGGGACGGAGAAACGGCCCAAAGUCCUACGGGAGGCAGAAGUGGGGAAUUUUGGACAAUGGGGGCAACCCUGAUCCAGCAAUGCCGCGUGAGUGAAGAAGGCCUUCGGGUUGUAAAGCUCUUUUGUCAGGGAAGAAACGGUAGUAGCGAAUAACUAUUACUAAUGACGGUACCUGAAGAAUAAGCACCGGCUAACUACGUGCCAGCAGCCGCAGUAA
rnacentral:rRNA from 1 species